AGGUCAGCUUAUGCUGCCCAGGCUGGACUCAAACUCCUGGGCUCAACGAUCGUCUUGCCUCAGCUUCCCAAGUAGCUAGGACUACAGGAGGAGGUCUGCUUAGACCCUGAAAAAAAAAGGGGGGGACUCAUAUCCUAAAACCAGCCUAUCUUUGCCUUGCCAUGAACUGACUGAUCUGGCCACAGGAGGCCUGAAGUCUGACUACCCCUCUAUAGAAACACAGAG
rnacentral:lncRNA from 1 species